UAGAGUUUGAUCCUGGCUCAGAACGAACGCUGGCGGCGUGCCUAACACAUGCAAGUCGUACGCGAAAGUCCUUCGGGAUGAGUAGAGUGGCGCACGGGUGAGUAACACGUGGGUAAUCUACCCUCAGGUCUGGGAUAACCCGGGGAAACUCGGGCUAAUACCAGGUAAGACCACGCAACGAGAGUUGCGCGGGAAAAGCCGGGGACUCCUUCGGGAGCCUUGCGCCAGAGGAUGAGCCCGCGGUCCAUCAGCUAGUUGGCGGGGUAAUGGCCCACCAAGGCUAAGACGGAUAGCUGGUCUGAGAGGAUGAUCAGCCACACUGGAACUGAGACACGGUCCAGACUCCUACGGGAGGCAGCAGUGGGGAAUAUUGCGCAAUGGGCGAAAGCCUGACGCAGCAACGCCGUGUGUGUGAUGAAGGCCUUCGGGUCGUAAAGCACUGUCAGGGCCGACGAUGGCGGUUUGGGAGCAAAAUCCCAAGCCGUUGACGGUAAGCCCAAAGGAAGCACCGGCUAACUCUGUGCCAGCAGCCCCGGUCA
rnacentral:rRNA from 1 species